rnacentral:rRNA from 1 species
CAGUCGAACGGACUCAUAUUGAAACCUAGUGAUUUAUGAGUUAGUGGCGGACGGGUGAGUAACGCGUGGAUAACCUACCGUAUACCGGGGGAUAACACUUAGAAAUAGGUGCUAAUACCGCAUAAGCGCACGGCUCCGCAUGGGGCAGUGUGAAAAACUCCGGUGGUAUACGAUGGAUCCGCGUCUGAUUAGCUAGUUGGCGGGGUAACGGCCCACCAAGGCAGCGAUCAGUAGCCGGCCUGAGAGGGUGGACGGCCACAUUGGGACUGAGACACGGCCCAAACUCCUACGGGAGGCAGCAGUGGGGAAUAUUGCACAAUGGGGGGAACCCUGAUGCAGCGACGCCGCGUGGGUGAGGAAGUACUUCGGUAUGUAAAGCCCUAUCAGCAGGGAAGAAAAUGACGGUACCUGACUAAGAAGCCCCGGCUAACUACGUGCCAGCAGCCGCGGUAAUACGUAGGGGGCAAGCGUUAUCCGGAAUUACUGGGUGUAAAGGGAGCGUAGACGGCAGCACAAGUCUGGAGUGAAAUCCCGGGGCUUAACCCCGGAACUGCUUUGGAAACUGUGCGGCUGGAGUGCAGGAGGGGUAAGCGGAAUUCCUAGUGUAGCGGUGAAAUGCGUAGAUAUUAGGAGGAACACCGGUGGCGAAGGCGGCUUACUGGACUGUAACUGACGUUGAGGCUCGAAAGCGUGGGGAGCAAACAGGAUUAGAUACCCUGGUAGUCCACGCCGUANACGAUGAUUACUAGGUGUCGGGGGANCAAGGUCCUCCGGUGCCGGCGCAAACGCAUUAAGUAAUCCACCUGGGGAGUACGUUCGCAAGAAUGAAACUCAAAGGAAUU